AGUUUGAGAUUUUGAACUUCAACAUGGCGGAUUAUAUAAUCUAUGGCUCGCGGCCAUACUGGUUCGCCGAUUCACCGCUCUGCUGUGAGUCGCUGCCUAUCAUCUUCGACUCGAUUCGGUUCGUAUAUUCGGGUCUUCUAUCUUGUGCAUUCUUGGUUCACUGGUUAUGUUUGUUGUACGCUCCGUUUCGUACAUGUUCAUGAUGCUCGAGGCGGUGGAGAGAAUUGUGCGGCUUCUUAGUUCAUUCUUAAUUAAUUUAUUUAUUGUUGGAAUUCAACUACAAUUACAAUAGCUAUUAAUUAAUUGAUUUAAUUCAUGUGUUAACUGUUUAUUAUUUACCCUCAGAUUAUUGUAGCCGUUCAUCCUACUAACCCCUUUUGGAGUGCGUAACCUGUGUGAUUUCCGUCGCAUUGUGAUGUUGGACGACUGUGCUCUGUGCUGUGUUGCUAUUGAUGGCCAUUGAUGGCCAUUGAUGGCCAUUAGCGGUGAUAUCUCUUGUUCUAAUUUGUUCUAAUUUGUUCUAAUUUGAAUUUGAAUUUAAUUAUUCAAUUGAUUUUAUACUCUAAGUAAAUUCAUACCGGUAUUAUACUUAUCGUUAACCAGUUUAUUCACAAGCCUUUCAAUGUAGUGUCUGGUUUUCAAUUUCCUGGUAAUCUGGGAUUGUCCAGUGUCAAUUACAGUAAAUUGAGAUAGCCAAUUGUUGUUUUGAUCUUAAUUGCUAUUGCAAAUAACUUAAGUCGUAACUUGCUUUGUCAUUUGCAUUUUCACCUGAUUGGCUGGGUACGGUUUCUAGUAGUUAAUUAUUGUUCAUUUCUUGCUCAGUGCAACGGAGGUCUGCACGGUUCUAAUUGAUUUACAUCAAGUUAUUAGUAUGAUUGGGGGCUGUACCUCAAUGUUUCCUUCAAGGAUUCCUUGACUUUAACUACUUUCAUAAAGUACUUUAGUUAUCAGUUCUCUGUUAUACUCCUGACGUCUACUUAACUUAUUCUUGCUCUUAUAUUAUUUUAGUUCAACCUAGUAUGAUUACAAUUGUGAUCAUGAUCCCGGUCUUUUCAUGACUGGGAAAUAAUCUAUUUAUUUGUUUGCAAUCGGAAGCUCAUUUAUAGUUGGGUUUUGAUGUUGCUCAUUCAAUUCGGUUCAACUACGUUCACAAUUUUAUUAUAAUUUUAUUAUAAUUUUAUUAUCUGUAUUACAGCGUACGGCGCGCACUUGUCGCCUUAUCUCACUUAUUUCCUCAUUUGCUACUUAUUUUAUUAAAUGCUAUUAACAUGUUUACACACUACUUUGGUGUUGUUCUGGACGAUUUAUGAUUUGUUAAUAUUGUUGGACGUAUAAUGCUGUUGUUCAUUUCAGAAUUGGCAAAGUUGCAUUUAUGCGCAGUGAUGCAACUUUCACUCAUUUUCUUAUUCUACCUUAUUAGGUGCCGGGUGUCUGGCUGACAUGUGGGGAUGGUUGAAGAAGUCGAACUAGACAUGAUUGGGAAUGUAGUGGGGUGAUUUGAUCAGUCGAGGCAAUGGAUUUGUUCAAUGAUCCCGGGUAUCUUUAUGAUACGGGUAAUUUGUUGCAGUCUUGGUUACACUGUACCACAAGAUGGCUUGUGCUGUUAGCUAUGGUACCGGGUGCCCGGUUGACAUUGAAGGAUGGUUGGAGGUGUUGGAUUUGAUUUGAAUUGGAAUUGGACUGGAUUGGGGCGAGCUGCUGGUCGACGAUACCAAUAGAUUUGACCAGUAAUCACGUGAACCGUUAUGAUGCGGGAACCUGGAAACUUGUUACUUGUGCAAUUUUGUUGCAUUAGACCACAAGACGGCUGUGUCGUUGACUACGGUGAUGUCUUUGAUUCUUUAUAUUCCUUAUACUUCUACAUUUUGAUUUUGAAUUUGAUUAUACUAAUUAUUAAAUUGCUAAUUACUAAAUUACUUAAUCAUUUAUGCGCGGCUUACUGAUUUAUAUACGACGUUUGUGAAGUACUUGUCUCUUGUUUCGCUGUUAGCCUUGAGGUUGUUCAGUAGAAAUGAAAUGCAGUAAACUAGGUAUUAAUGGCUGAAUAUUUGACCAUUGAUCGGAUGUUUUGCUGUUUGCCUAGGGUGGCACUCCUCUCAUUCUUUUUCUUAAGGUUACUAGAGUGGUUAGGCUGUGUAUUUAUGUAUUAUUGUUAAUUAGUUUCUAUUCAAUGCUGCAGAGUUUGCACGGUUCUGUUAUUAAAACAAUUGGAAACUGUUAUUCGCGCCCGUCCUCUAUCAUGAUUAUUCACUCCGUUGGGGCAUGUUAGUCAUUUAACUUCCCGCUACUCUUAUAACCUUGAUUCGUUCUCUCUUAAUUGCCUCGUCGUCGAAGUUGUACGGAUUUCUGGUCGGGUGGCGGGGUGAGGACCCAUUCUUACUGCGACCGUGAUUUUGUAUGCGGCCGGAGUGUGGUCUCUUUUCGGGUCAUUACGGGAUUCGGUCGGGCGACGGGAUCAAGAUUUGACUCUGGCCGCAUGCCUGUGGUUUAGCCCACGGCGUUUGUUUUGUUCCGUCUCAUCUUGCUUUAUUGAAUUCAUUCAUCAAUAUUGCUGCAUGCUGUGUCACCUCCUUGAUGCAUGCUGCUACUUGUUGACUACAUUGUUGUUUGCGGCUUCCACAGGUGUCGGGCGCCCGGUUGACAUCUGAAGAAUGAUUGGAGGAGUUUCAAUUGGAUUGAUCUGAACUAGAUUGGGAUGGACUGUUGUUUGAUGGAGCCAGUGGAUUUGUCCAAUAAUCCCGUGAAUCUUUAUGAUAUGGGCAACCCGCUGUGGUAUUUGUUGCAUUGUGCCACGGGAUGGCUUGUGUCGCCAGUUACGGUGCCGGGUGCCCAUUUGACAUGUGAGGGACGGUUAAGGGAAAUGGAAUUGAUCUGGUUGGACCGGAUUAGGGUGGCUUGAUCGAUUGAAUUAUAGGUCUGUCCAGUAAUCCCGUGACUCUAGGAUACGGGUAACCUGUUGCAAUUUCUAUUGCAUUGUGCCGCAAGACGGCUUGUAUCACUAGCCACGGUGUCCUGUGCCCGGUUGGCAUAUCAAGUGGUUAAGGAUUACAAAUUGGACCGGAUUGGUUAAGCUAUUAUUAUUGAGGGAUCCAACUGAUUUAUCCACUAAUUAUGUGAAUCCCUAUUUACGGGUAACAUGCUGCAGUGGGCAUGGUGUUGCCGGACGACCUAUGUCGCUAUUGAUGGUGGUAUUUUAUGCUUUUAUUUGGUUAUGUCUUGACACUUUGUUAUUGGUAUCGAUUAUAUUUCGACUUAUAUUAAUUUAAUCCAUAUUUAGUUUAUAUUUGACGCUAAAUUAAGCUACACUAAUGAUGCAUUGUUGUGUUAUAUUAUACGCAAUUACUGUUGUAAUAUGUAUGGUGUCUUGGUUCGCUGUGUCUGCGGGAGUUCUUACCGCUGGCCGCAGCGAGUCGAGGAAACUUAUAAUUAAAUGAUUAUAUUAUGUUAACACUUCGCCAACCGCACGCGCCACAGCGAACUAUACUUUUCUCACCGCGUUCGGAUAAGCCUACUAAAUUGGUGUAUUUUAUUAUAUACUGUACUUUAUAUAAACAGAAAAAGUCCGCAAUUAAUUCAGUACAAUUCCACAUCAACAAUAACUAAUAAUAAUAAAAAAAAAGAAAACGCGUUGCUACGGUCAAAAUAGGAGAUCUCCCCGAUCGUUCAGGCAACGACUUGCUUUAAAGUGGGGAGAUCUCCCCGAUCGGUUAUGCAGCGACUUGCUUUAAAGCGGGGAAAUCUCCCCAUUCGGUUGGCUAAGUGUUAAGUGACGUUGAUCCUAGCUGUCUAAUUGUCCAUAUCGAUUAUCUAGGGCUGUGCUCCCUCGCUUAUUCUUUUGCGCAGUCGGGGGGUCUUACAUUGGUCACCUGGUCAUUAAUUAUCCAAUAUAAUAGGGUCUUACGCGAUUCUCAUUGCUUACAAUGCCGGGAUGACUAUUUCCUAUUAAUAAUAGGCUGUUCUAGCUAACUAAUUUAGCUGCUACUUUUACCCUUUAGCUCUUACUUAUUCUGCGCUAGCGAUGACAUUGAUUAUAUUCAUGAUGUGGGAUGGGGUUUGGACGUGAUUGCAAUCGUGACACUGGCUUCUGGUUUCCCCGUGACUGUACAUGGUCCUUGGCGGCCUCCGGGAACAUGGGUUGUGAGGGUAUAGUCGAUUUACCUUGGUCUCAUUACUUAUACUGAUACUGAUACUACUAUUAAUCUCACGGCUUUAUUCAUUUCAUUAGUUUAUAUAGUUUAUUUAGUUUAACAAUUGAUUAACGCUAACGGGUUCUCCAUUGCCGGUUGUAGUUUCCUGAUCGCCGGUGCCGUUGAUGAUCUUGAUGUGGGUGACGCGGGUGGGUUGGCUGGACUGGACUGAUUGUGGUCUGGCGACCCCCCCUUAUUCACACCCUUAUGCACUCAGCGACUGAUUCGUCGGACGAAUCACGGUUCAUCCGCCUGAUAUGCCAAAUCGUUUAUUUCAAUUUACUACGAUAUCCAUCUAGUAACUUAUUAUUAAUUUAUUUAUUAGUUAUAUUAACCUAAUUUUAUUGCUCACUAACUAAUUAGCUAACUAACUAACUAUU